GUAAUUUUGUAAGUGAUUAGAGUGUUGUCUGUUACCAAUAUCAUUUGCCAUAAGAAUUUAGUAUUUUUUUAAAAUACAUAUUAUUAUUUUUUUCAAAAAUAUUAUAAACAGACGACACACUAAGCCCUUCUUCCUCUUCCACCAUAAGCUUGCUUGCAUAUAGAACUAGGCUUUUGUGAAGGCGUACACAGCGGAGACGAACCUGGACAUCCUUGUAAACAAUUAUUCCCCAAGCUACCGGUGAUAUGCACCUCACCGGCGAAAAACCCCAACGGCGGCUUUCCAAUCAAGAAAUUCCCGUCCAAGAACAGCCUUCUCAAACUCUUCUUCUUACUGUACUCCAAUGGAAUCUUGCCACGUAGCCGAUUGUAUCUCAGUGACAAAGACGACAGCUGCGGAUAAGCUGAGAAAUUCACGGGGGCGUGUCCCUCGAUUUUGUUGAACCCGAGAUCAAUCGCCACCAGGUCGCUGUAGCCAUUUGCAGGUUUGGAGAUCUCGAUGCGUGUCAGGCUGUUAUUGGCUAAAUCUACCUGUUGAAGCGCUGGCAAGGCAAAGAACCAGGGUUCUACUGCCCCGGUUAAUGAGUUCUCGCUAAGUUCCACCACUGCCAACUGAGUUAACCCGUCAAAGGACCAUUUUGAUAAUGACCCAGAUAAAGAAUUGCUCUUUAAAGCUAGUUCUAGCAAGUUGGGAGGUAGUUUUGGUAGAGACCCAGUUAGCUUAUUGUAACUAAGAUCGAGUCUCCUUAAACUAGACAUUGAAUUCAUGCCUUUUGGGAGAUACCCAGAUAAGGAAUUACGCGAAAGGUCCAAAACUUCAAGGGAUUUAAGGUUGGUGAUGAAGUUAGGGAGUGAGCCAGAGAACGAGUUGGAAUGGAGAGUCAACGUCUGGAGGUUAAAAAGAAAGGAAAUGGAGGAUGGGAUAGGACCAAAAAAGUUGUUAUCAGAGAGGUCAAGAACAGUGAGGUGACUGAGUUGAGAAACAAGUGGGGUAAGCUGACCUGAGUAGCCAACAGGGUCUAGAGUGAGUUGGGUGACUCGGGUUGAGUCAGAGGAGCAGGUGAUGCCGCAGGUGAAGUGGGUCCGGCGAGGGGAGGCACAUGGAUCGGUGGUGAAGUCCCAGGAGGCAAGGCAGGACCAUGAUGGGAUGGAACGUGGCUUGAUGGAAGCUUUAAAGGCCUUGAGAGCAGAGAUGUCCUGUGGUGAAGUGAGAGCAAAAAUCAGGAAAUUUCUGGAGAAGAAGAGAAACAAGAAAAGAAGAAAGUGGAGAAAUUUGAACAUUUUUCGGUAGAAAGUGAAUAGAGGUUAUGGUAGAGAAGAGUGGCAAAGGAAUAAUGUGGAAGUGGAGAUCUAGAAAGGACUUAUCCUGGAGUCGGAGUUGGAUUUUUUUUUCCCUCUCAACAAUACUUUUG
rnacentral:misc_RNA from 1 species